rnacentral:tRNA from 1 species
GCGCGGGUUGCCGAGCCAGGCCAAAGGCGCAGCGCUUAGGACGCUGUCCCGUAGCGAGCACGUCCGGGUCCGGUUCAAAUCCGGUCCCGCGCA